AGGGUCACUCUGGAGCAAGGGACCGACACUGACGGCAGAAACCAAAUACAAUGAAAUAACUUAAUCUGGGAGGGAAGCGGAGACAAGGGGAGGAGGGAGGCUUCAGAGGCGGCCAAGGACUCAACAGAAGAGGGCUGCGGAGCUAAUGAAGGGGGCUAAGGAAAGAAUGGGACUCUUGGGAUGGGGUGAUUUGACUGAUAGUAGAUGAAAUACAGACUUCUAGAAGUCCUAAAGGUUUUGGAGAAACACAAAGUUUUGAGGAGCCUGUCACAGAGCUCCUGGGCUCAGCUGGAGAGGCCAAGCCCUUGCUGACACCUACUACGGGCUGAGGGGUCAUCCGCACGUUGGUGCCGGAGGAAGCUGCAGCUCUGGACGGUAAGGGCCAGAGUCACGUGCUCAGAGUGAGACGCAGGCCAACGGUGGGCCCUGGGGAACUCUCCCUGCCUCUCCUCCAGUUAAGGGAUGGUCCAAAGAAAAGACUACCUGAAAAGACAGCCUGAUCGUUAAAAAUUAAUUGUUCUUGAUUCACAUGUUUAACGUUGUGCUUACAGGAAUACUCUGGCCAAAUCUCUACCUUGGAUAUUACCUUUUCAGGUCAUCAUAACAUCAACUGAUGCUCCUGGAUAAUUGAAUGAACGAUGCCCAACGUAAGACUGUGAUUGGUUUGUGUGAUUUCAUAAAUGCACAAAAGACACAUGAACUUACUCAGUGAUUUUUACUUUUGUCAAGGUCAAAUAGAAAGACCAGUUUUGCAAAUAUGUCCGGGAAAACCGUCAACUCACAAACCCAGCUAAGAAAAAGAUUAUGCAUUUACAGGAGCCGGAGAAGAACAACAAAUUCUAAGGGUCCAAGUCCAGAGCUGCACAUGGCUGGUCUCUGUGCACAUACAGUAGGUUUCCAAGAAAUG
rnacentral:lncRNA from 1 species